GGGCUCAUAGCUCAGUUGGCAGAGCACUGUGCUGAUAACGCAGGGGUGGAAGGUUCGAAUCCUUCUGAGCCCA
rnacentral:tRNA from 2 species